GUGGAGUAAUACAACAAGGAGGAGAAGAGCUCCAAGGGGAGGAAACAUAAGUGAGAGAUUAAGUGACAUGUUUUGGAAACAUUGAAUGGUUGGGCCUGGGUGAUUAUAGAGCACCAUUACAGGCCAGGAUGCCAGGCCAGCAGAGAGCUGACCCUGAAGGGCUCUGGAAGCCUUGAUGCGAAAGAAGUUGCAUGCUGAUCUGAAGGUUAUAAGAAGCCAGUGAAGAAUUUCAUCUGGAGGAGUAAGAUGAUCUUAUUUAUUUUAAAAGAUCACACUGCCCUUGAAGUGGACGGUGGACCAACUAUAGCGAGAUUUGGAGAUUAAGAAGCAAAGGAGAUAAACAUGAAUCUCUUCCAGAAGACCCAGGAAAAAUACCAUUGCGACCUGAUGGCUCUGAUUGGGUCACAUAUUCAAGCAUGUAAAGGGUAAAUACAAAGAACGGUUUCAAGAGGAUGUGAUCUUUCUCCAGGACAAUGCUUCCCAAACUUGUGUUCCUCCAAACCAGUCCCGCAAAGUGUUUUGAAAGACAAAUGGAAAAGUUUCCUCUGGCUGAAAAAAGUUUAGGAAAAAUUGGAUUAAAUAAAAUUUCUCAGUGUUUUUUACUUCUGGAUUGCUCAACAACUUAUAUAUGCAAAUGUAUCUUAGGCAUUUCCAAAAGUGGGCUGUAUUACGAUGCUGCAUUUCUCAAAGAGAAUUGGCCUUGAGAACCCUCUUUUACGGAGCCUAUGUCACCAUCUCGUGGAACUGGGGCUCUGCAGGACACACGUAGGGGAUGCUGCUGGGGGGCAUCAUCCAACAAACUUCUGAUUUGGGUUCUUUCUGUUGCCUCAUUUUUCUUUUUUUGCAUUUCCCACUUACUUUUUCAUGGCAAACUAUUAGUAGAAGAACCCUGCCA
rnacentral:lncRNA from 1 species